GAUGAACGCUGGCGGCGUGCCUAAUACAUGCAAGUCGAGCGAACAGACGAGGAGCUUGCUCCUCUGACGGUAGCGGCGGACGGGUGAGUAACACGUGGAUAACCUACCUAUAAGACUGGGAUAACUUCGGGAAACCGGAGCUAAUACCGGAUAAUAUAUUGAACCGCAUGGUUCAAUAGUGAAAGACGGUUUUGCUGUCACUUAUAGAUGGAUCCGCGCCGCAUUAGCUAGUUGGUAAGGUAACGGCUUACCAAGGCGACGAUGCGUAGCCGACCUGAGAGGGUGAUCGGCCACACUGGAACUGAGACACGGUCCAGACUCCUACGGGAGGCAGCAGUAGGGAAUCUUACGCAAUGGGCGAAAGCCUGACAGAGCAACGCCGCGUGAGUGAUGAAGGUCUUCGGUUCGUAAAACUCUGUUAUUAGGGAAGAACAAAUGUGUAAGUAACUAUGCACGUCUUGACGGUACCUAAUCAGAAAGCCACGGCUAACUACGUG
rnacentral:rRNA from 1 species